AAUUGGUCAACCAAACCCUUUUUUUUUUUUUAUUUCCUUCUACUUUCCCCCGUUUCAGACCGUUGUUGAUCACCAAAUCCUACAAUCCCGUCAUCGUAGAUCGUCUAAUCUUCCUAAAAAUCCUUUGCUUUCGAUUUGUUUCCUAUACUCUUCCAACAAGCUAAGGUUACGGCGAUUAGCCUCCUGAUCUCCACCGAAUUUCACCGUUUCCCUAACAAUUAUUUAAUGGAUCCAUCAGCGCCCAAUUUAACAAUUUUGGCCUCUUUAUGUCUCGCCGUUGCCAUUUUCGGACUUUGCUGGCCGGUCGCCCAAUCCAAACCUGAAGAUGGAAUAGUGAUUCAGCAAAUUACCAGCAAAGAAGGCGGUGUGUGCGCCGGAGUCACUGCUCCAGCGUCAUGCCCGAUCAAUUGCUUCCGCAUGGACCCCGUCUGUGGUGUCGAUGGAGUGACAUACUGGUGUGG
rnacentral:misc_RNA from 1 species